rnacentral:rRNA from 1 species
AACGAACGCUGGCGGCAUGCCUAACACAUGCAAGUCGAACGAGAUCUUCGGAUCUAGUGGCGCACGGGUGCGUAACGCGUGGGAAUCUGCCCAAGGGUACGGAAUAACUCCUCGAAAGGGGUGCUAAUACCGUAUGAAGCCGCAAGGCCAAAGAUUUAUCGCCUUUGGAUGAGCCCGCGUUGGAUUAGCUAGUUGGUGGGGUAAAGGCCUACCAAGGCGACGAUCCAUAGCUGGUCUGAGAGGAUGAUCAGCCACACUGGGACUGAGACA